rnacentral:rRNA from 1 species
AGUGAACGCUGGCGGUAGGCCUAACACAUGCAAGUCGAACGGCAGCACAGUAAGGGCUUGCUCUUACGGGUGGCGAGUGGCGGACGGGUGAGGAAUACAUCGGAAUCUACUUUUUCGUGGGGGAUAACGUAGGGAAACUUACGCUAAUACCGCAUACGACCUACGGGUGAAAGCAGGGGAUCUUCGGACCUUGCGCGAUUGAAUGAGCCGAUGUCGGAUUAGCUAGUUGGCGGGGUAAAGGCCCACCAAGGCGACGAUCCGUAGCUGGUCUGAGAGGAUGAUCAGCCACACUGGAACUGAGACACGGUCCAGACUCCUACGGGAGGCAGCAGUGGGGAAUAUGGGACAAUGGGCGCAAGCCUGAUCCAGCCAUACCGCGUGGGUGAAGAAGGCCUGCGGGUUGUAAAGCCCUUUUGUUGGGAAAGAAAAGCAGCAGGUUAAUACCCCGCUGUUCUGACGGUACCCAAAGAAUAAGCACCGGCUAACUUCGU